rnacentral:rRNA from 1 species
UACGGAGGGUGCAAGCGUUAUCCGGAUUCACUGGGUUUAAAGGGUGCGUAGGCGGGUUGGUAAGUCAGUGGUGAAAUCUCCGAGCUUAACUUGGAAACUGCCGUUGAUACUAUUAGUCUUGAAUACUGUGGAGGUUAGCGGAAUAUGUCAUGUAGCGGUGAAAUGCUUAGAUAUGACAUAGAACACCAAUUGCGAAGGCAGCUGGCUAGACAAUUAUUGACGCUGAGGCACGAAAGCGUGGGGAUCAAACAGG